AAAGUUUAAAGAAGAAAUCUUAAAUUGCACAAUAUUGCUCAAUAGAUUUGUAAGAACUUGACAUUUGUUUUGUGUCAGGAACUCAUAUUAUGUCAAAGACUUGAUCACAAUCCAAAUUCAGAGCUGGAUCAAGCUUGAAUGUUGUGUCCAUACUUGCCCAGCUGUUUAGGGUUCGACCUCUGCUGCGGUAUCACCCUGCAGAGCACCUGGUUGCUAUUUAUUUUUCUAAAAAAAAUAUUAUUAGGCCUAUUAUUUCAUAUUUUAUUUUAAAUUCUACCAGAAAGAUUUCUUUCUAUUUACAAAACAACUGUUUUUGCAUGAAUAAUUUAUGCAAAACUGGGUAAUUUUUCACAACUUAUACCUUAGAAAAAGGCCUGGUUACCCAUGAUUUUUAUUAUACUUAAAAAAGCAUUCUAAAAAUUAUAUUUUGACAAAGUGCAUGAAAAUUCUGUUAGAGGAAAUAUUUAGAAUGUCAAGGUUGCAAAACCUGGAAGAUAAUACUUUUAAAACCAUCUUAGUUACAAUAACUUUUACCAACUGUGCACCUCAGGGUAUUGAUAAAUACAUGUACUGCAAAUUUUAUCAUUGAGAUUUUUUGCAUGUUGUAUGUUAGAAUAUAC
rnacentral:lncRNA from 1 species